rnacentral:rRNA from 1 species
GUGUCAGAAAAAGAGGGAACACGUAGGGGGCGAGCGUUGUUCGGAAUUACUGGGCGUAAAGGGCAUGUAGGCGGCUUGGUAAGCCUGGCGUGAAAGACUGCAGCUUAACUGUAGGGAUGCGUUGGGAACUGCUUAGCUUGAGUUACGGAGAGGGAGCUGGAAUUCCUGGUGUAGGGGUGAAAUCUGUAGAUAUCAGGAAGAACACCGAUGGCGAAGGCAAGCUUCUGGUCGAUAACUGACGCUGAGGUGCGAAAGUGUGGGGAUCAAACAGGAUUAGAUACCCUGGUAGUCCACACUGUAAACGAUGUGCACGAGGUGCUGGGGCGGUAGUUUCAGUGCCGGAGCGAACGCGGUAAGUGCACCGCCUGGGGAGUAUGCUCGCAAGGGUGAAACUCAAAUGAAUUGACGG